AGCAGCCGCGGUAAUUCCAGCUCCAAUAGCGUAUAUUAAAGUUGUUGCAGUUAAAAAGCUCGUAGUUGAAUUUCGGGGUUAGUAGGUUGGUCAUGCCACUGGUAUGUACUGGUCUCACUGAUUCCUCCUUCUUGAAGAACCGUAAUGCCAUUAAUUUGGUGUUGCGGGGAAACAGGACUGUUACUUUGAAAAAAUUAGAGUGUUUAAAGCAGGCAAUCGCUUGAAUACAUUAGCAUGGAAUAAUGAAAUAGGACGUUCGAUCCUAUUUUGUUGGUUUCUAGGAUUUGACGUAAUGAUUAAUAGGGAUAGUUGGGGGCAUUAGUAUUCAAUUGUCAGAGGUGAAAAUUCUUGGAUUUAUUGAAGACUAACUACUGCGAAAAGCAUUUGCCAAGGAUGUUUUCAUUAAUCAAGAACGAAAGUUAGGGGAUCGAAGACGAUCAGAUAUCGUCGUAGUCUUAACCAUAAACUAUAGCCGACUAGGGAUCGGAUGAUGUUAAUUUUUAAUGUACUCAUUCGGCGC
rnacentral:rRNA from 1 species